rnacentral:tRNA from 1 species
GCAUCCAUGGCUGAAUGGUCAAACCACCCGACUCAUAAUUGGUGAACUCACAGGUUCAAAUCCUACUAGAUGCA